UACGGAGGGUGCAAGCGUUAUCCGGAUUCACUGGGUUUAAAGGGUGCGUAGGCGGGCAGGUAAGUCCGUGGUGAAAUCUCUGAGCUUAACUCAGAAACUGCCAUGGAUACUAUUUGUCUUGAAUAUUGUGGAGGUAAGCGGGAUAUGUCAUGUAGCGGUGAAAUGCUUAGAUAUGACAUAGAACACCAAUUGCGAAGGCAGCUUACUACACAGUUAUUGACGCUGAGGCACGAAAGCGUGGGGAGCAAACAGG
rnacentral:rRNA from 1 species